UACGGGGGGGGCAAGCGUUGUUCGGAAUUACUGGGCGUAAAGGGCUCGUAGGCGGCCAACUAAGUCGGACGUGAAAUCCCUCGGCUUAACCGGGGAACUGCGUCCGAUACUGGAUGGCUUGAGUUCGGGAGAGGGAUGCGGAAUUCCAGGUGUAGCGGUGAAAUGCGUAGAUAUCUGGAGGAACACCGGUGGCGAAGGCGGCAUCCUGGACCGACAUUGACGCUGAUGAGCGAAAGCUAGGGGAGCAAACGGG
rnacentral:rRNA from 1 species